ensembl:snRNA U4 U4 spliceosomal RNA
AGCUUUGCGCAGUGGCAGUAUCGUAGCCAAUGAGGACUAUCCGAGGCUCGAUUAUUGCUAAUUGAAAACUUCCCAAUACCCUGCCGUGACGAUUUCCAAUACAGUCGGCACUGGCAAUUUUUGACAGUCUCUACGGAGA